rnacentral:tRNA from 1 species
GGCAGAGUAGAGCAAUGGCAGCUUGCAAGGCUCAUAACCUUGAAAUUGGCGGUUCAAUUCCGCCCUCUGCAA